rnacentral:rRNA from 1 species
CGGGACGGGUGAGUAAUGUCUGGGAAACUGCCUGAUGAGGGGGAGUAACUACUGGAAACGGUAGCUAAUACCGCAUAACGUCGCAAGACCAAAGAGGGGACCUCGGCCUCUUGCCAUCGGAUGUGCCCAGAUGGGAUUAGCUAGUAGGUGGGGUAACGGCUCACCUAGGCGACGAUCCCUAGCUGGUCUGAGAGGAUGGCCAGCCACACUGGAACUGAGACACGGUCCAG